AAGCCUCGCUUUUUUGCUGGUAGACGCACACCAUCACAUCCUACAUAAUAUUUAGCUCUGAGGCGUUUCCAGAUGGGAAGUGCGUUUCUGUAUUUUCAUAGCCGUGUUCUCUACGUGAAUGGACUGGCGUGAAGCUGGGGGCUGACGGCUGGCAGGGCAGAACAACUUCCAGUAAAAGAAGGCACUGAGGUUUAAGUGCUACGUGGGAGCAGUUGCCGAUUUUUGCAAUGGGAGGCUGCAUAGAUUCAAGGUGGAACCAUCUAGUUGCAGGAAAACAAGCUCAGGGCUCCUGUUGAUUCUAUAUUAUGGACUUCCUUGAGUGCUCCAGGAGCUUGUCAUUCCAGAGACAGAGCAGCCCAGAAGUCCUGGGAUUUACACCUCUAGUAGAAACCCUCAACCAGAGAAGGAUGGAAGUCAAUGGGCAGAGUGCUCGGGAGACCUUUACCUGUUUUACCUGAUUACAUCCUCUGAGUCACAACGAGAAAGGAAGCCGAGCAACAGCCAGACCUGAUCUUCUUUAAUUGUGCUCUGUGGACCAAAGGCAACAGAAUUACCUAGGCCCCACCCAGAAAAUGCAGAAUCCUGGGUCCCUUAUGAAGCCACCGAAUCAAAAUUGUGGGGAGCAACCAGGAACCUGAUUUUUAAACAAGUUCCCCUGUGAUUCUUAUGCACAUUAAAAUUUGAAAACCCCUGGACAAAGCCACAGUUCCUGGAGGAGCAGAGAUGAGUCAUGUCCAUGAGUAAUACCCCAUGUUGACACAGCCCUGGUGCAAGGUAGGCACGCCCCUCACACCUGUUCUCAUCACCAACAUUCCUUGGACAAGGUCAGGAGACGGUCUUGAGCAAUUUGGUAUAAAACAAAUCUCUGUAAGUCACAUUUUAAAUAUAAUAUUUAGAGGGAUUGCAUUGGCAAAUCAAAUUGUUUUCAUUAUUGUAAAUUGUACUGUGCUCAGAUACUUACCCAAUCUUGACUUCAAAUUUAGCUCAACAUGACCUCUGGCCUUAGGCUUGAGGAUUGUAAGGCCCCCUGGCCCAGCACGCUUGCUGUGCUUGGGGCUCUGUUGUUAGCACUCUGUUUAUUUUGUUCUUGGGCACCGUCCACUACCUGGUCAGAAAAACCUUAGCCCCACUGUUCCCCAGUGCCUGUGUUCAUGUCUUGCCCCAAAGACCCAAUCCCAGAGGCUAUGGGUCCUCAAGGUUGAGAUUCUACCUAUGGCCCAAGCUAAGGUCCUGCCAUCUCUUAGCAGAAUUUCCAAAUCCUGGCCUACUUUCUAGGGUCUUCCAAUAUCAUCUGGUGCUGAAUUCCUAUCACCAAGCUCCAUGUGCCUCUCAGGACACCUCUCAUAAUCCCCCCAAACCAUAUACAGCCUAUCAGUGAGGAGCACAGGCUCGCUGGACAGCCUAGGUAUGAAGCUUGGCUCUGCCACUUGGUGGCUGUGUGACCUUAGCCAAACACCCCACCCAACAAGCCUCAAUUCCUGCAUCUAUAACAGCCCCUACUAUUAUAUGCAGCGUUGUCAUGAGUAUUGAGUGAGGUGAUACACUUACAGCCAAGCACAGUGCUUGGGCACAGCAAGGGCUCAAUAAAUGUUGGGGACCGGUCCAAAAGCUGUUCCAUGUCUGAGUGCGCGUACAUGUGAACAAAGCUCCAUGCCAAAGCAAAUGUGUCUCCAAGCUACCCUAGCAGUGGCACCAGGGGUCACUUAUAGAGUGUCACUUUGGGCUUUGGAACAAAUGGACUUGUAAGCAGCCUUUUCUCCUCUAUUUUUUUUUUUUUUUUUGAGACAGAGUUUCACUUUUGUCACCCAGGCUGGAGCGCAAUGGCGCGAUCUCGGCUCGCUGCAAACUCUGCCUCCCAGGUUCAAGUGAUUCUCCUGCCUCAGCCUCCCAAGUAGAUGGGAUUACUGGUGUGUGCCAUUAUGCCAGGUAAUUUUGUAUUUUUAGUAGACAUGGGGUUUCACCGUGUUGGCCAGGCUGGUCUUGAACUCCUGACCUCAGGUGAUCCACCCGCCUUGGCCUCCCAAAGUGCUGGGAUUACAGGCAUGAGCCAUCGCACCUGGCCAAAGCAGCCUUUUUAGAAUUCACCUUUGAAUAAUAAUAAUAAUAAUAGCAAAUACAUGGUACUCACUAUGAGCUAGACCCUGUGCUGAUAAGGGCAUUACUCAUUUGAUUCCUUCCAUAACAAGGCUGGUACUUUAUUACCCCCACUUUACAG
rnacentral:lncRNA from 10 species